AAUAGGAGACGAGAGGAUCCGCGAAUAUCCUUCGAACUCGAAGGAUAUCCCAUAAUAGGGAGUAUCUCCUACUUUUUCUUUUAAUUUACGCUUUCCAUUUAUUUUAUUUUCUUGCAUAUCCCGGGACUUGCAUGCAUUAAUUUUGUUCCUAAAUUUUAUACUAACUUGUUUUUUAAGUGUUUUUAUUUUGUAGGUAAAGCUUAUGGGAGACGAGAGGAUCCGCGAAUAUCCUUCGAACUCGAAGGAUAUCCCAUAAUAGGGAGUAUCUCCUACUUUUUCUUUUAAUUUACGCUUUCCAUUUAUUUUAUUUUCUUGCAUAUCCCGGGACUUGCAUGCAUUAAUUUUGUUCCUAAAUUUUAUACUAACUUGUUUUUUAAAUUGUGUUUUUAUUUUGUAGGUAAAGCUUAUGGGAGACGAGAGGAUCCGCGAAUAUCCUUCGAACUCGAAGGAUAUCCCAUAAUAGGGAGUAUCUCCUACUUUUUCUUUUAAUUUACGCUUUCCAUUUAUUUUAUUUUCUUGCAUAUCCCGGGACUUGCAUGCAUUAAUUUUGUUCCUAAAUUUUAUACUAACUUGUUUUUUAAGUGUGUUUUUAUUUUGUAGGUAAAGCUUAUGGGAGACGAGAGGAUCCGCGAAUAUCCUUCGAACUCGAAGGAUAUCCAAUAAUAGGAAGUAUCUCCUACUUUUUCUUUUAAUUUACGCUUUCCAUUUAUUUUAUUUUCUUGCAUAUCCCGGGACUUGCAUGCAUUAAUUUUGUUCCUAAAUUUUAUACUAACUUGUUUUUUAAGUGUUUUUAUUUUGUAGGUAAAGCUUAUGGGAGACGAGAGGAUCCGCGAAUAUCCUUCGAACUCGAAGGAUAUCCCAUAAUAGGGAGUAUCUCCUACUUUUUCUUUUAAUUUACGCUUUCCAUUUAUUUUAUUUUCUUGCAUAUCCCGGGACUUGCAUGCAUUAAUUUUGUUCCUAAAUUUUAUACUAACUUGUUUUUUAAGUGUUUUUAUUUUGUAGGUAAAGCUUAUGGGAGACGAGAGGAUCCGCGAAUAUCCUUCGAACUCGAAGGAUAUCCCAUAAUAGGGAGUAUCUCCUACGUUUUCUUUUAAUUUACACUUUCCAUUUAUUUUAUUUUCUUGCAUAUCCCGGGACUUGCAUGCAUUAAUUUUGUUCCUAAAUUUUAUACUAACUUGUUUUUUAAUGUGUUUUUAUUUUGUAGGUAAAGCUUAUGGGAGACGAGAGGAUCCGCGAAUAUCCUUCGAACUCGAAGGAUAUCCCAUAAUAGGGAGUAUCUCCUACUUUUUCUUUUAAUUUACGCUUUCCAUUUAUUUUAUUUUCUUGCAUAUCCCGGGACUUGCAUGCAUUAAUUUUGUUCCUAAAUUUUAUACUAACUUAUUUUUAAAGUGUUUUUAUUUUGUAGGUAAAGCUUAUGGGAGACGAGAGGAUCCGCGAAUAUCCUUCGAACUCGAGGGAUAUCCCAUAAUAGGAAGUAAAGCUUAUAGGAGACGAGAGGAUGCGCGAAGAUCCUUCGAACUCCAUUUUAAACCAAAGAUGCAUACGAGAAAAAAUGGCCGGAUGAUCGGACCACCGAUCCCAUAAUAGGGAGAAUCUCGUACUUUUUCUUUUAAUUUAUGCUUUCCAUUUAUUUUAUAAUGUUGCAUAUAGUAAUAGAAUCAUGUUUACGUCCCGGGACUUGCAUGCAUUAAUUAUAUUUCUAAAUUUUAUACUACCUUGUUUUUUAAUUGUUUUUUUUUUGCAGGUUAAGCUUAUAGGAGACGAGAGGAUGCGCAAAGAUCCUUCGAACUCGAUUUCAAACCCAAGAUGUAUACGAGAGAAAGUGAUCGGACGACCGAUCCCACAAUAGGGAGUAUCUCGUACUUUUUCUAUUAAUUUAUGCUUUCCAUUUAUUUUAUUAUGUUGCAUAUAGUAAUUGAAUCAUGUUUACGUCCCGGGACUUGCAUGCAUUAGUUUUGUUUCUAAAUUUUAUACUAACUUAUUUUUCAAGUGUUUUUUUUUUUGCACGUAAAGCUUAUAGGAGACGAGAGGAUGCGCAAAGAUCUUUCGAACUCCAUUUCAAACCCAAGAUGCAUACGAGAGAAAAUGAUCGGACGACCGAUUCCACAAUAGGGAGUAUCCCGUACUUUUUCUUUUAAUUUAUGCUUUCCAUUUAUUUUAUUAUGUUGGAUAUAGUAAUAGAAUCAUGUUUACGUCCCGGGACUUGCAUGCAUUAGUUUUGUUUCUAAAUUUUAUACUAACUUGUUUUUUAAGUGUUUUUCUUUUGUAGGUAAACCUUAUAGGAGACGAGAGGAUGCGCGAAGAUCCUUCGAACUCGAUUUCAAACCCAAGAUGCAUACGAGAGAAAAUGGCCGGAUGAUCGGACGACCGAUCCCAUAAUAGGGAGAAUCUCGUACUUUUUCUUUAAUUUACGUUUUACAUUUAUUUUAUUAUCUUGCAUAUAGUAAUAGAAUCAUGUUUACGUCCCGGGACUUGCAUGCAUUAAUUUUGUUUUUAAAUUUUAUACUAACUUGUUUUUCAACUUUUUUUUUUUUUGCAGGUAAAGCUUAUGGGAGACGAGAGGAUCCGCGAAGAUCCUUCGAACUCGAUUUUAAACCCAAGGACCAAGCUCAGAGAUAGGGGGAGCAGAAAUCGGCUGUGAGAAGCAUUGUUAUGGAAAUAUCUUGGAAGGAUGAAUAUGAUGAACAGAAACAAUACGAUGAACGUAAAGUUACCACUUUACAUUGUCUAUUAGACGGACUUUAGCAAACUGCCUCUUUUCUGUGAAAGAGAAUUCCAAACCAUCAUCUAGCUGAAUCACAAAUGGAAACACAGAUUAAUAUUAAUGUAAUAAUAGCAUCAAAUGCAUUAUAUAUAUUUCAUAGUCUAAAACUUAAA